AUGAACAUUGAAUAAUACAAAAAAACUUUUUCCUAUUUAGUUCGUACUUCAAACAUUAGUUAUGGAAUUGAUUCAGAUAUCAUUGACAGGACUGCUACACAAUGUCAGAUAUGAAACAGGUAAUAUUUCACUCAGUGAAAUAUUAUGUCAUUGCCCUCACUUACUUAAGCUUGUCUUUCAUGGAUAGUAGAGUCUAGCAAUGCAUUUUUGGUUCAGCCUAGCAUCACUGACGAGAUAUAUGGCGGGUCAAAAUAACGCUGUCUGGUGUUGAAGCAUAAAUGUGUUGUGUUUUGCUGUGGUCUUCUUGACUUGUCAACAGAAGUAAUUCGGCCACGCCACUGAAGAUUACAGUCGCAGUUAUAAUUGAAACAUUGAAGCCAUUCAUGAAAGCCUACAUUCCUAUAUUAUAUCGAAUUGUUAGGUUAGGUUGAAUUUGUAUCUAUUUUAUAAUUUAUAUGUAGAAAAGGGGCUUCAUUUCCCCGUCUGAAUGAAUAAAUAAAUCAUUAGACACAAUUUAA